GACGAACGCUGGCGGCGUGCUUAACACAUGCAAGUCGAACGAAGUGGCGAACGGGUGAGUAACGCGUAAUCAACCUGCCCUUCAGAGGGGGACAACAGUUGGAAACGACUGCUAAUACCGCAUACUGAAGGAGGGGAUUGCGUUUGAUUGGCUAGUUGGUGGGGUAACGGCCCACCAAGGGGAUGAUCAGUAGCCGGGCUGGAAGGGUGAACGGCCACCUUGGGAAUGGGGCACUGCCCAAGCUUCUACGGGAAGCAACAGUUGGGAAACUUCCGCAAUGGGCGAAAGGCUGACGGAGCAAAGCCGGGUGAGGUGUGACGGCCUUCGGGUUGUAAAGCUCUGUUAAUCGGGACGCGGUACCGGAAUAGAAAGCCACGGCUAACUACGUGCCAGCAGCCGCGGUAAUUC
rnacentral:rRNA from 1 species